GUAAAAAAUAGAAAUGACCGCGCGCGAGUGACUGUAACUCUAGUUUUCCGAUUGCUAACAGUUUCCCUCACUUUCCCGUUCGAAAGAGAGAGAGAGAUACAACAAUGGAGAUCGAAGAAAUUGAAGCCGUACUCGAGAAAAUCUGGGAUCUACACGACAAAUUAAGCGACGCAAUUCACUCUAUUUCCCGUAUUCACUUCCUCAACUCCGUCAAAAAUCCUAAAAAAUCAGAUAAAAAGAAACCCUACAACGACGCCGUUGAAGAUAAUCGUCCCGGCUUUGUCUUCUUCAAGGACUUCCGCAUCGACGACGAUGACUCCGCUAUUCAAGAAGCUAAGAGUCUCAAUGGCAUAAGAACCGCUCUCGAAAACCUCGAGGAUCAGCUCGAGUUCUUCCAUACUGUUCAAAUUCAGCAGCGGGCCGAACGAGAUGCUGCGAUUGCUCGUUUAGAGCAAAGCCGGAUUGUGCUUGCGAUGAGAUUGGCUGAGCAUCACGGAAAGAAGUACAAAGUCAUCGAAGAAGCUCUAGCAUUUGUCGGUGAUGUGCGUGAUGCGAGUCGUUUUGUUUCUCCUGAAAACCUCUAUUGUUCGUCUCAGAAUCUGUCUGGUGGUGAGAAUCUUGUUAGGCGGAACGAGAAAGGGUCGUCUAAUGUUGUGAUUAAAGUUCUUAUUUCUAGCUUUGAUUUGGUUAGGAAUUCUCUUAAGUUGAAUCAUGUUGGUGGGAUAUUGGGUAAUGCUGCUAUAUUUGCAGUUAGUAUGAUUGCAUUUCUCCAUUUCCAUCCUGGAGCUUAUAAGGAGCUUCCUUACGAUCAAGAAGAACCCCUGUAUAGCAGUAGAAAUGCGAGGAAUGCAUCACGAGAAGAACGUUGUUCAUUCAACGGGGAUUUAAGUCGGUUGGAUGUAAUGUUAGCCAGGGGUUAACGAUGAUUUACCAGCUUGAAGCUUUUCUAUAAUCAGUCAAUGAAUGGGAACGUCUGCUGCUUUAUAAAUUGAGAAGUUCAGUAACCGUAACAGUUCAAUCGCUUCCCACGAAGCUAACAUGAUGUACGAAUUUUAGAUGCAUUUCCGUGUCAAACAGGACCGUGUUUGAAAUUAUGAUAAUAGUGUUAGGAUUAGUUUGUGUUGUGUAGAUAAUUUCCGAAUGGUUGCAGCAAAGUUUCGGUGGUCUAUUUUAGUAAAUCCAAGGUACAGUUUAGAAUUUGCUCUUUUCAAGCUACUGAAAUGAUUGUGUAGGCUAUUUGCAAUUUUCUAUCAUGUCCAUGUUGGUGACUUUCUUUUGCAGAGUAAGUUUAGUCUUUGAAAGAUUA